GAUGAACGCUGGCGGCGUGCCUAAUACAUGCAAGUCGAGCGAACAGAUGAGGAGCUUGCUCCCCUGACGUUAGCGGCGGACGGGUGAGUAACACGUGGAUAACCUACCUAUCAGACUGGGAUAACUUCGGGAAACCGGAGCUAAUACCGGAUAAUAUAUUGAACCGCAUGGUUCAAUAGUAAAAGACGGUUUUGCUUUCAUUUAUAGAUGGCUCCGCGCCGCAUUAGCUAGUUGGUAAGGUAACGGCUUACCAAGGCAACGAUGCGUAGCCGACCUGAGAGGGUGAUCGGCCACACGAGAAGGGAGACAGGGACCAGACGCCUACGGGAGGCAGCAGUAGGGAAUGGGCCGCAAUGGGGGAAAGCCUGACGGAGCAGCGCAGCGUGAGUGAUGAAGGUCUUCGGAUCGUAAAACUGUGUUAUGAGGGAAGAACAAAUGUGUAAGUAACUAUGGACGUCUUGACGGUACCUAAUCAGAAAGCCACGGCUAACUACGUG
rnacentral:rRNA from 1 species